AAUUUUAGAUUUUUUCUUUUUUUAAAUGGAUAUCACAUGAGUUAUUUUAAGUUUUGUGUGAAAACAGUCUAUCAAUACAGGUAAGUUAUGGAUACACUCUUAGCAUGUGUUAUUUGUUGCAUCAACUUAAUAUUUAAGUAUGGUGUAUAGCCUUCACAGAAGCAUUUAAUGUGUUUAUAAAAGCUUUUCUGGUUGUGUUUAAACUUUGCGUCUGUUCCCUUGUCAGGUGGGUAAAGGUGACCGUGGCAGUGGGGGAGGGGAGCGAUGCAGCAGUGGAGAGACCGAUGCUGGCAACAGACACUGAAGUCCUGAGCAUGGAGCAGCCUGGGAGGGUCACUGGUUGAGAGUCCAGUUCAAUCGAGUGUGGAAGGAACCAGUGAUGUCUGCCUGUCUGUGAUGUCAUCACAAAGCGCCUGGGACUUUGUAGUUCCACUGUUAAAGCACUAACGGAUGUGUGGGCAGAUGCUGACAUUAAGAGGAGUGCCAAAGCUGGACUUGAUGCAUUUUUCUUACUACUACACUUUUUUCUUUUUUUUUAAAGAAGGACCCUUGUAAAUAUUUUUCUGUAUUACAAAAACAGUUUGUACAGUUUUACUGGGAGGGCAAGUUUUGUUACAUUUUUAAAAGAAAAAUUCAAAGACUGGUGCCCCCAAACCUUUUUGUUGUUGUUUUAAGAUCAAAGUGUAUGAUAGUGUGUUAUUUGCUGAAAAUCAGUCCUAUCUUUUGAAAAUCAUGCACCUGCGGACUCACGGAGUAGUAUUUGAUGGCACUUGCAUAUAUCCCUGUGUUAGUGAUAGAUAUUGACAUGCUAUGCCUCUUCAUCUCAAACUGUUGGGAGACAUUUCCGCUUCUCCUGCAGCGUCACCCUGACUCGCUUAUAGGAUUACACUGACGAGGUGAAAAUCAGUCAGACGUGCUCGAGGGACGCUAGGAGUCCUCGAGUUUCGGGCAAUCGUAACACGACACAGAAAUGAUAAAUCACAUUAAGUGUCUGUGUUAUCGCACCAUGCUGCCUUUUUCUGCUCUUAUCUGACAUUUGCUUUCUGCCUCAGAGAACUGGUGAAGAUUAUUUCAGCUUAUCACUUCUUUUUUCUAUAAAAACUUGAAAUAUUCUUGAAUGAAAGUGUUAAGCGCAUGAUAAAGCAACUUAAGCUCCAGUGAUCUGUGAACACCCCUUGGCUUUUGCUCUUGUUUUUAUGGCUUUAGAACACCCCUUGUGUUCAAAUAUGGAUUGGGUUAUGUUGAUUUCUGUACAGUCGCUUCAGAACACCUGACAUGGUGGUUCAUGAAUCUCCACAUUAACAAAGAGAAAUUAUCUGUGCUGUUCUCAAGAAAACAUGCAUUGGAAUAUCACAACUGUUAUGAACUUCUUGCACGUGCUUCAACAAUCUUCAUUUUUAAUAAUUGAUUUUCAGAAAUGAUUUAAAAGGGAUAUCUGUGAUUAUUGGGUCAAAUUGCAAGUGCUUGCAAUAUGUGUGCAGAAAAAAAGUUGAACUGUCAUUUGAACCUGGUUUGAACAGCAGGUGUAUGGCUGUGCUGGCUGAAUGUCUGCUGCUGUUUCUGAGAUACUGUACAUCUUGUUGGCUAAUGAAAUGGGAACUGCUUGCAUUGUUCAUUUUCUACUUUAAGUCUGCUGUAACUCAAUAAAUACACAACCGACUGCAAAACCG